GCUGGGUGUGGUGGUGCACACCUGUAAUCCCAGCUACUUGGGAGGCUGAGGAAGGAGAAUUGCUUGAACCCAGGAGGUGGAGGUUGCAGUGAGCUGAAAUUACGCCACUGCACUCUAGCCUGGGCGACAGAGCGAGACUCUGUCUCAA
rnacentral:SRP_RNA from 1 species